rnacentral:tRNA from 1 species
GGUGGCUCAGUUGGUAGAGUGCUUGCCUCACAUGCAUGAGGCCCGAGGUUUGAUUCCUCAGCACCA